rnacentral:rRNA from 1 species
UAGGGAAUCUUCCACAAUGGACGAAAGUCUGAUGGAGCAACGCCGCGUGUGUGAUGAAGGCUUUCGGGUCGUAAAGCACUGUUGUAUGGGAAGAACAGCUAGAAUAGGAAAUGAUUUUAGUUUGACGGUACCAUACCAGAAAGGGACGGCUAAAUACGUGCUAG